AAAUUGAAGAGUUUGAUCAUGGCUCAGAUUGAACGCUGGCGGCAGGCCUAACACAUGCAAGUCGAACGGUAACAGGAAGCAGCUUGCUGCUUUGCUGACGAGUGGCGGACGGGUGAGUAAUGUCUGGGAAACUGCCUGAUGGAGAGGGAUAACUACUGGAAACGGUGGCUAAUACCGCAUAACGUCGCAAGACCAAAGAGGGGGACCUUCGGGCCUCUUGCCAUCAGAUGUGCCCAGAUGGGAUUAGCUUGUUGGUGAGGUAACGGCUCACCAAGGCGACGAUCCCUAGCUGGUCUGAGAGGAUGACCAGCCACACUGGAACUGAGACACGGUCCAGACUCCUACGGGAGGCAGCAGUGGGGAAUAUUGCACAAUGGGCGCAAGCCUGAUGCAGCCAUGCCGCGUGUAUGAAGAAGGCCUUCGGGUUGUAAAGUACUUUCAGCGGGGAGGAAGGUGUUGUGGUUAAUAACC
rnacentral:rRNA from 1 species